CUGACACAAUAUUGCUCAAAGUAAGUAUGUGAGGUGAUCGUAACAUAGUUCAAAGAACAACGAGAUUCAUCCUGAGAGACCAACAGAAGAGCUCCUUUACCCUUACAAGAAAUCGACUGACGAACCCUUGGGUCUCCGAGGAUGGCUGCGUUUGGACUCAUCCCUUAGACCUCUUGUGGCCAAUCACACAAGAUUUUAGAACAGCGCUCAUGCAUAUGAAUAUUAGAUAAUCACGUUGCGGUUGACUGUCUUCACGGAUUGUUAGCCUGUUCUCAAUCAGUGGUGAAGAGCGGAAAAAACUGGCGAUUGUUACGCAAACGAAAAUAGUACAGCAGAAGUCGUUAAAGGCUGACCCUUAUAUAUCUAAGGCUUGUAUUUCUAUGCGGACCGCGACUCAAGAUAACUUACAAUUUUGCUUUUUCGGAGUAAGGGAAGAAAAAAAAAUAACCUUAUUUAGUACCUUUACGAUGAGCAAGGUACAAGGUCAAUACAAACUGGUUCAAGAAGCCAGGGACCUGAAGACCACGGAGUCUGCGAAAGAUCACUUAUAAAGUCGAAAGAUCAUCAUAAAACCGUUUUAAAAAUAAUUUUAAAGAUGAAUGGGUAAGGACUUAGUUUCUCACAGAGAAAGCGCGAAAAUUUUCACAGGGAACACAGACCCGUUGCUUGCUUAUCCCAAACCAUCUCUCUGAUAACAAUUCAAAUGCAUAAAAACCAAAUUAAAACUUUUGACGAUGUGGUCCUGUUAUAACCUUUUUAAAGGUUUGAAAUUUAAAAUAUGUGAAAAAUCACAUCAUGUAGAGUGAAGCCCGCUCCUUUCAUCUGUUUAGCCAAUAAAAUAAGGUGAAGGACGAUUAUAUAUAGUUGCUCUCAAUAUUAUGAACUCUUCUUUCGAUGUUCAAAACAUUUCAGUCAUGAUCAAGGCUAUAUUUGGCCAAAAUAUUGUGUGUGAAAACAUAACUUAAUAAAAGAUCAAAAUUUGCGAAAUCAGGAA